rnacentral:lncRNA from 1 species
GUGAGCAGCUGGAGUGCGUGCGUGCGUGCGUGCGUGCGUGCGUGCGUGCGUGCGUGCGUGCGUGCGUGCGUGCGUGCGUGCGUGCGUGCGUGCAAGCAUUGCCUUAGGCUCUCGAGAGUAUGAAGCAGUGUAAACUAGCAGCUCUUUGCCUGGCUCAGGCGACUGAAUGGACAUUGCUUCUAGGCCCAAGUAUACUUAUUUUGACCCAGUUCUUUUGCUCCUUAGGCAAGCAAGUAGACAGCCAGCACAAUGAGAAAGUUAGUACUGAGGAGAGAAGUGGAGCAGAGGGACUCGCUUGCCACGUGGGCCUGGUAGCCUGACCCUGAUCCAUAAAACCCAAAGGGUGGGAGAAGAGAACCCCACCACUACCAUCACACACACAAAGCAGCAGCAUUGGUAUCAGAUUUUAAUUUAAAGAUACAGAUCAGAAGCCUUCAAAUGUUCAGGGCUGGAGAGAUGGCUCAGAGGUUAAGACUGCUGCUCUUCCAGAGCUCCUGAGUUCAAUUCCCUGCAACCACAUGGUGGCUCACAGCCAUGGGCUCUGAUGCCCUCUUCUGCUGUGUUUGGAGCAGCAACAGAGUACUAUUAUAUAAUACAUGCAUACAUCUUUUUUAAAGAAAAAAAUGUUGAGAUUUUUAAGCUUAUUAUUUCCACUUCUAGAUAUUUAUUCCCAAGGUUGUAAAUGAAAUAUAUAAAGAUAACUUUAUAGAAAAUACAUUGCAACAUUGCUUGUAAAAAUAAAAUAUUGAAAAUAGAGAAAGUCAAUGCAUAUGCAAAGGUUCCUAUGAUUUUUCUGGCAGUUUGAUGUACAGAAUCAUUACCAGUCAUUGUCUAGGGUCUGGGGGACUGGACGAGAGGCACAGAAGCGCACAUACUGUAGUUAUUUAUGUCAACUUCUCAAAAAGCUAUAAAGGAUAUUUUUAUUUUAGAGAAAGUUUAAAUAGGGACUAAGGUCAUGCUACAUGAAGUAAGCAAGACAAAGAAAAACAUAAUUGUGGUUGCACUUGCGCAGUCUAACAAAGUCCAACUCGAGAAACAAACUCAGCUCGUGCUCUCCAGGACGGGGAGGAGCAGCGGGGAGGUGGUCGUGUGUGUGCUGAAUCUCACGCACGACAUUGCAAACGUACGUAAUACUAGUAUUCUACAUCAUUUAAAUAAUUUACAAUUUUUACAAUUUUAUGGAGUUUGGAAGUUACAAUUUAGCUUAAAACAUAAUUAAUGGUAACACCGUGAUUCUUAAAGACAUAGAAUUGGAGUGAUUUUUGAUUGCAAGACUCAGUCAGCAAAACUAGUAAUAAGUGUGCCGUGUACAUAUUUUAGUUGUCUGGAUUUUAUAGAAUUUAAUAUCUUUAAAUUUUAAGGUUUUUUAAAAGUUGUUAAAUUUUUUAGAAACUGAAGAGUUAAGUCAAUAAAAUAAAAAUAUAAGUAAAUGAAAGCAAGGGCAAAAUUAAUUUUACAAAGGAAAUUUGAACAGACUUUAGUAAACCAUUUUUUAGUCUGAAAAAAAUUAAACAUUUCUGGGGGAACAUAGUAAUUUUAGAACUUGUAGAAAAUUACAAAUAUUGAAACUCAAGAGUUUUAACAAACCAAUUCUGAAUGGUUAUUUUAUGGAAAAUUAUACAUUAAGUGAUAAGGGAGGAAGUUAAAUUCCCCCCCCCCCCCCAAACAUCUACAUUCAUCUCUGUCUUAGGAUUCCUGUUGCUUCAGUGAAACCCAUGACCAAAGAGCUAGCUGGGGAGGAAAGGGUUUACUCAGCUUCCACUUGCACAGCACUGUUCAUGAUUGAAGGACAGAUACUAAAGCAGAGAAGCUGAUACAGAGGUCAUGGAAGGGAUGCUGCUUACUGGCUUGCUCCCCCAGGCUUGCCCAGUCUACUUUCUUAUAGAACACAGGACUACCAGACCAGGGAUGGCGCCACCCACAGUGGACUGUACCGUCCCCCCUUGAUCACUAAUUGAGAAAAUGCCUUACAGCUGGAUUUCAUGGAGGCAUUUCCUCACCUGAUGAGGCUCCUUCCUCUCUGAUGAUCCAGCUUGUGUCAAGUUGACAUGCC